AGAAGAGGCAGUUUAGGGUAGCUCCAAGCUCUUUACCAGUCUCUGGAGGCAGGAAGGACCCAGGCCCCUGGGCUGGGGCUGGCUGGGGGUGGGGUAGAUGCCCCCUAGGUUGUAUUUAUAUCUCAGAAGAUGCCACAGAUGCCAGAGGCACAGGCUGGAGUCAGGCGGUCCCCAUGUGCCGCUGUCACUAACGCGGCCCCUCCCCCACCCCUGCACUCUCCUCUACCUAUCCCAGAGAGAAGGAGCCAGAGUCGGUCUGGGACGGGGCCAAGGGCUAGAGGGCCUCGGCCCCAGCCUCUCCGUCUCUCCUGUGGGCCUGCCACAAUAGGAUGCGCAGGCCCUGAAGCCCUACGGUCCUUCUAACCAGCCUGCACCCUUCUGUCCCAAGCCAGAGCCCUUCCCUGGACCAAGACCGGGGCUUCAGGCUGCCUGGGGCGUGUAGGAGGAAAAUGUGAGUCUUGGAAAUCAGGCAGGAGAAAUGGGGAGAGAAGCUGGAGGAUGGUGAAAACAGAUUGUUCCCCUGGGCCUGGGCCUGCCCUUACCUUGGACUCUGGUGUGGACCUCCCCAUCCUGGCUGGGUCUCUGUCUCAGUCCCUGAGCCCCUUUCCCACACACCAUCCCUAGGAGUCUGAGUUCAGAUCCUGCUCUGCCGGGCUUAGUUCUGGACACAGGGCCCUGGAUCCCCCUGAGAAGAGGACGAGAAGGUUCCCUUUGCUGGGGGUCCUAUGUAACGGAGCGGUCAUAGUGAAGGUCUUAGGAAAUCUGUCUCUGCCGUUCCUGGGUCCGUCUGCCUCUGAGGCGUCUGUGCAGCUCUGCUGGCUUUCUCCUCCACAGUCUCCCAUGAGGACCGCAUCUGGCAGUAGGGGCUACCAGCCCCGGCCCCUGGGCCAGCGCCCCUGCCAGCCUUGGCCUGUUCUCCUCCCACAUCUGCCUCUGGCGCUGCUUUGCAACCUCUGUCCCUCUGGGCACUUGCUCUCUUUGUUUUCUUUUUAGGUCCCCUCUCUCUCCAUCUCUGAUCUUGGGUUUCUCCCUCUCUAUUGUUCUGCCUCCUUUCAGCUUUCACCAUUCCCAAUACCACCCCUUCCCUGAUAUUUGGAUACCUUCUUCAGCCGUUCUUACCAGGAAAGAACCCUACUGGGAAUUAUGGUAGAGGUCAUAAAACCUGGGGUGUCUUCCAAGAGGACCAGGUUGGGAGGGGUGAGAGGGAUGGGGUCCAAGAGGAAUAGGUGUGGGAACCCCUGGGAGCAGGGCCAGGGGACCGAGUGGGGAGUGAGGAAUGGUCUAGGAGGGCCAGAGGAUGAGAAUGGAGGGAAAAGGCAGGGUUCAUAGGAAUAGGAGGGCCCCACCCCCAGGGUGAGAGUUCCUGGAGUGAUGGGGGGUGGGGUGCCAGCACCGUUACCCUGGGGACAGGAAAUGUUUACUGCCUGUGGCUUCCUGUCUGUUUCCAACCUCUCACUUCUCCGUUUGUCUCCCACCCGCGGGGCCCCACCCCUCUCACUCAGGCAUUAUAUCCAGUUGGGGGGGUGGAGGCUGGCUACUCUGAAGGCACAGUGACCUGGUCAACUGCCAGGCCCAGUAGGUGAGCAUAGGGCUGCAGCCAAGGGAUCCCUGUUACCAGUUUUUCCAUCACCCUCUGUGAUUGGGGAGGGCCGAGACUGAGUGCUCUUGGGAUGGCCUGAGAAAGAAGCUUGGGGUCUGGCAGGAUUGCAAGCCUCAGGUCCCUAAGGUUCUAGAGUUGGUUCUUGGGCAUGCAGGCUGGCACAGCUGGAAAGCACCAUUGAGAGCAUCCACUGGCUUGAAGACUUUCUUGUAGAUGCCUCGGGACUGCCACAUGGAGUGAGGGGGGGCCGGGUUGGCCCUGACACUCCUCCCCAUCUUCUUUCAGAGCAACCUCUUUCCC